UACGAACCGGACAAACGUUAUUCGGAAUCAUUGGGCUUAAAGGGUGCGUAGGCGGCCGCGUAAGUCGGGUGUGAAAUCCCUCGGCUCAACCGAGGAAUUGCGCCCGAUACUGCGUGGCUCGAGGGAGACAGAGGCGAGCGGAACUGAUGGUGGAGCGGUGAAAUGCGUUGAUAUCAUCAGGAACACCGGUGGCGAAGGCGGCUCGCUGGGUCUCUUCUGACGCUCAUGCACGAAAGCUAGGGUAGCGAACAGGAUUAGAAACCCCUGUAGUCC
rnacentral:rRNA from 1 species